AACCGCGUAGCUCAGUUGGAAGAGCAUUGGGCUAGUAUUCCAAAGGUCGUAGGUUCGAAUCCCGCCGUGGUCA